CUUCGCGACCGGAGAAGAUCGGCCUUCAAACAACAGAGAAACCCUAGGUAUCAAACCCUAGGUGUAACCUUGGAAAUCCUUACUGGAAAUAUGGUCAGGAACGUCGGAGAGGAACUCAAAACGUCCACUGAGUGAGAAUCGAGCCACCGGAAAGCAGUAGAACCCUAGGUUAAACCACCAGAAACCCUAGAAGCCGAUAGGUCAUCGAGAAACCACCCAAAAUCAGCAGAAAACCACUCAGAAUGUACGGGUGAAGAAAAUAUACUCAAAUAUCAUGACGAAAAACUCGAAAAAGCAUCUGAUCUAGGUCAAAGCCAUCAUCGACCAUAAGGUCUCAGAAAAAGCCGUAGAAAAUCUCAAAAAGAGUUCAACC
rnacentral:lncRNA from 1 species